GGAAGCAGCUGGUCCCACCAGCCCGCCCCCUGCGCGGCGAGAACAGAACUUACUGUCCCCGAGUCCUCGCUCCGCCUCCGCGUGACGCUACUGCACGAGCCAGAGCUCCAGACACGCGCGGCGCCUCGACAGGGCGGGGCGAGGCCGUCCACGUGACCCAAGAAGGCCCGUCCCCGGGACCGCCUCCAUGGCAUUUGCCGGCAGAUGACCCUGCUUGAUAGAGAUCUCUGGCCAACAGCGCCGAGCCAGCACCUUCAAACUGGAUGAAAUCUUGACCUGAAGGUCCCUUAUGCAAAUAACCCCUGGAAGAUUGCCCCUUGCCAGUCCCUCAGGCCUGUCUGCCAUAUUUGAAACCUGCCGUAAAAACUCCUUACAGUCUCAAGGUGAGAAGGGAUGGUCAGGAAUUACUUUUUAAAUAAGCAUUUUAAUUCUAAGGGUUGAUGUGGUAGCGUUAACCUAUGAUGGCAAAUUCUUUGACACUCCUUCUAUAAGAAGGUGGGGUGUGUGUUCCCUGCCUUUGAGUCUGAGCUGGUUUGUGCCUGCUUCAACCAAGAAAACAAAGGAGGUCAUGCCAGGUGACUUCUGAGUCAAGGUUAUACGAAGCCAGGGGGCUUCUAACUUGUUCACUAGGACACCUGCUUUUGGGAACUUGAGCUGCUUUAUAAGAAGCUUGACUCCUCCGAGGCCACCCUGCAGUGAGAAAACCAAAGCCACAUGGAGGUCCACGUGGAGGUGUUCUGGUCAAUAGUUCCUGAUAAGCCCAGCUUUUGAAUACCCCAGCCCAGGCACCAGACAUAUGAGUGAAGAAGCUCCUAGGUGAUUCCAGCCCCAGCCAUUUCAGUCUUCGCUGCCAAGGCCCCAUGUAUCAUGGAACAGAAACAAGCCAGACUUCUGUACUCUGUUUAAACUUCUGCUCCACAGAAUCCAUCAACAUAAUAAAAUAGUGGUUAUUUUA